CAACUACUCCCUCUGUCCCAAAUUUCUUGUCUUAGAUUUGUCUAGAUACGGAUACAUCCGUAUCUAGACAAAUCUAAGACAAAAUUUUUGGGAUGGAGGGAGUACUUU
rnacentral:pre_miRNA from 1 species